GCUUAACCUCUUAAAACUGUGAUAAGGAGUAUAGUGAAUUGAGUUUCUAUUGAAGUUUCUAGCGACACGAAGAAUUCCGCCGAGCAAUUACUGCUAGUCUUGUAUUCCAUUGCUUAUCGAACGUACACGGGUCGUACGCGCAGGCUGAACAGUAUAACUGGGACCCCGAAAACCACAAGAACUACGCGUUAUUGACAAACAAACUUCGACUGGUGCGUUUGAGCGAUUCUCUCGCCUACGCUCGAUAAUGUGAAUCUCUGUUUACGAGAUGCGAUGAAUUGAUACAAUACACGCGUCAUGCAUCCUUGUGAUUUUCAUUAAUACUGAGACAGCUUGUAGCAUGUGUGACCUUUAAUAUAAACAAACGUGAUUUUAAGUAUUUUGGUCACUGAAUUUUAGGAGGGUGACUGAAUGUGAUGUGAGUGUAGUUUAAGUCCAUGUCAGUUUAAAUUUAUGAAUAAUGGCAUGGCAUGAAAGUAAUAGCUGUUAGCAUUCAUAAAUAGAUUAUACCUAUAAUGUAUUCUGCUCUACAAAAAGCCCCGCACGUCAAGUGCUCAAAUCGGGGAAUUAAAAUGGUAUUGGUUUAUUUAUGUUUUCAUUUUACUUUGUUAGUUUUCCAGCGGUUCAGUGGGCGGUCGUAUGGGCAGACAUAACUGAUAAAAUCCUUUGUGUGUCUGUACUGGCUUCGACCAAUUAAAAUGUAGACUUUUUCAUAGAAGUAGAUAUGUUGUAAUAUUUAUUCAUAACCAAUACCUAUUGGGUAAGUAAUAUGUUUGGACCCGGGUACGUCCUUAAACUACGGCAUUGUGAAUUGUGAAUGUCAUCUCGCUUUGUGUGGAAGGACCCAGCAUCGUGGAUGUCAUUCCAGAUCUUCUUCAUUCCAGUCCAUUCAGACUUCAUCGAGAGCUCGCGUUGGCGUAGGGAGUAAAAUAUGUCGAGCUUUUCGACUUGAAAUACGCAUGUGAAUCGUUUUAAUAUAUAUAAAUAUUAAGCCUGUGCCUUGCGGAAAUUAGGUUAUUAAAAUUAGACUGUAGAAAUUCAAUGCAUGUUUCUGUAAAAAAUACAAUUUAAAUUAUGAAAAAGAAAGUUUCAUCACAAUAAUAACGCUAUCUACAAUAAAAAACAAUUGAUUGAACGAAACAAAAACUAAAUGUAAAAGGAAAUAACUCGUUUAUACUCGUAAAUGGUAAAGGAAAACAGAUGAAACAUUGCACAGGGAAAACUGGUAUCCUGACGUUGGGGGCAAUGCUAUCGGCGUAAGUUGUGGUCGUUGAGGAUUAUUAUGUAUAUCCGUCAUUUAUACCAAUGUGAAUACAUGUACAACAAACGUCCUGAUAGUGUGCGCCACAUCCAGCACUACUGAUAUCCUUUGUCGUACCUGUCUAUUGACUAAGUAAACCCUUUGAUUUUAAGAUCGUUCACCAAAAAGCAAUACGUGCAUACCUAAGGACAAUGACCGUUUUAUCAACAUUCCACAUAAGGUCACCUCGACACCUAAGUAAAGCCAACUUUUCCUCUUCAAUAUUCACAAAUUAUAGAUUACUAAUGACCCGUCUCGGAUUCGCACGGGUUAACAGAUUAUACACCAAAAGAUUUUUCAAGAAUCAACAUUCUUGAAAAUCUAAGGUGAAAACCGCAUCAAUAUCCGUUUAGUAGUUUUUGAGAUUAUCGCGAACGUACAAACGUAUACGGCGGGGGACUUUGUUUUACAAGGUGUAGUAUCUGUGUAAUUAGCACAUACGAUUGUAAUUGCUCAUACGAUUAUCUUUAAGGAAACUCCACUAUUAAAUCAUAAAUUAAAUCUUCAAGCAAACGAGGGAUUCCCUUGGCAUCGACUGUGUUAGUUGAUAGUUAUCUACGUCAACAACCCCUUAUAAAUUCACGCGGUGACGCCAAAAAAGGUCAACCUUUUCAGCUUGGUCUGACCCAAUUCCCACCCACUCGUUCCAAAACACCAUAUAUUAGACAUAGACUUAUGACGUGGAGAGGUAUUUCAGUUAGGGAGCAGUUACUUAUAAUUCCUACGUAUAAGUUUUAAAGAUACGUCAUUCAGAACAUAUGGAGCCCGGCUUGAUUUCAGUUGAAACGUGGAAAGACGAUUUAACGACGUAGACAGAUUUUACGGGGAAAACACUUUUUUAUGAUGCCAUUGUUUACAAGCAAUCUCAUGUUUAAUUACAGUUAAUUACGUUUAUAAAGUGUUAUAGUUGAAAGCCGAUGGUAAUCCCCUAAUCUUCUAAAAUCAUUGUGUAAUUGUAAUGCAAAAUUCUAGAAGCCACUCCAUCCAUAUCUUGUAUCAAUUAGAACAGUACCUAUUUAUAAUACAUGGUAACAAAGACGUUGCUGACAUCCCAUGUGGCAUGUGGCCCGUUUAGACAUUUUUUUUAUCUACGGUACGGUUGUAUAACGAUCACUUUAUUGAAAUUGUAACUCAAUUUCCAAGUAAAUGAAAACUAAACAAAGUGUAACAAGAGAAUUGGUAUGGGAAAUCCUUCGGUUCAAUAAACGGGAACGGAAUACACCGUCUGGUCGCUCGCUACGUCACCCGCCGUCGCGUCACACAUGUCGUAGAGUACCGGCGGCCACACACCACACGACACACGUAGCCCAUCCGCCACCACGAGCGGACGCGACCUUAUCAUAACAAUUAAACCUGAUAACUGAUAACGGACAAUAAUAUUAAGUGCUUUGACGUCAAUACUUUAUAGCUUUUUCCACGAUUUGUGAUUAGUUUAAAUAAAGUUUUGAGUGCGUGUGUUUCAGCCGGCUUCAAAAUUUCGAGGAUAUCUGAUCUUCCGUCUCGGCUGUCUCCAGGUAAGGAUCCAGGCUUGAAUGCCGCCGCAAACGAUACGAUUACUCACAUUUCAGUUUGAAACUUUAAUUUUAUUUGAAAAUCAAUGAGUGCCCGGAAACCCGCAUCCUGGGCAAUGUGCGAAGCGCUAGACGUAUGUACUUGCACUCAUGGUACCCAUAAACCCCAUUAAGCUUAAGUAGAUCCAUUUAAAAUUCAUUUGUGCAUCGACUCGUAAAUUACCUCAACGAAAUUAGGCCAAUGGAUUUCUCAAUUAACAGUUUGAUUCCAACACGCAGUUAAACGAAUAAAAUCACACAUAUCUAUAAAUAACACAUAGGUAAAGAAAGUCAAUAGGAACUCAUAUUUUUUUGUCAGGAAUGAAGUUUAGUAUUAACAUAGUAUUAUACUUAUACAUCAUAAUUUCACUGUUAAUCAUUAGGAAUUAUGAUGUAAUUACACUAAUUACUUUUUUUUAAUAAAUAAAAUAAAUAAAAAUAUUAUAGGACAUUAUUACACAAAUUGACUAAGUCCCACAGUAAGCUCAAUAAGGCUUGUGUUGAGGGUACUUAGACAACGAUAUAUAUAAUAUAUAAAUAUUUUAUAAAUACUUAAAUACAUAGAAAACACCCAUGACUCAGGAAUCCAUGCUCAUCACACAAAUACAUGCCCUUGCCAGGAUUUGAACCCGGGACCAUCAGCUUCGUAGGCAGAGUCACUACCCACUAGGCCAAACCGGUCGUCUUAGACAGUAAAAGUGUAGUAUUAUGAUGUCCAUAUAACGUUCGUCCUCAGGAAGUACUGAAUAAAUUAAAAAGGCUAUAAAAGCAGAUUAAUCGGAUAGAGCAAUUAUGAGUGCAUUUAAUAACAAUGAAAAAUCAAUUACUACUCUAAUCACGUUACGCCAAGAUACGACGUAAAUAGGUGGUUUAGUUUAGGUUCUUUGCUAUCUCUGCUUAUCUCGAGCCUAGACACAUAGGUAUUACUCCCACGAACACUAAAGUAGGUAAAUAAACAUAUUGUUGUCCCACGAACACUAAAGUAGGUAAAUAAACAUAUUGUUGUUCUACACGUAAUUUCCCGAGAAUCUUAAAUAAACAAAAUUCCGAAUGCUAAGAGUAGAAUUUUCCCAAUAAUGUUGGUAAUAUAAAGCACCGCGAAUAUCCACGAUUAAAUCCCAUUUUACCCAAAUAAUUUGGCAACUGCAUUCGGGGAAUAAGUUUCAUAUCACUCGCGGCCGUUUAUCUUAGACGUAAGCCCCCGGGUAGGACACCAUUCAUUUUUCCAAAUUGUUAUAAAAAUAUAUAGUCGUUUUAAAUGUAGGUAAAAUAAAUAAAAAUAAUUUAUUUUGAAAAUAAAAA